rnacentral:lncRNA from 1 species
AUGUGAUGUCCGUAAAAAUAAAUCAAAUCUCAAAUACUGAUAUGAAAAUUUAAAUACCCGAUCUGAUCCGUAUAUUUAUAUAAGUAAUAUAACUAUAUGCAAGUUAUUAUGCUUAUACAUGUAUUAUAAUAUAAAUGUGGUUUAUCUACUCAUUUCUAAGUUGUUUAAUUAGUUUUGGACCAUUGCACAUCCAAUUUAAUUUUUGUGAUACAAAUGUUAAGAUAUUAGUCUUUUUAUUUGGCUCUUAAAUAUUAAAUUAUUUAUUUUUGAUUUAUAAUUUGCAUUCAAAUGUUAUUUUCUUGGUCUAAACAUACUAUUUGUUAACUUAUCUAUAUUAUUAAAAGAGAAGUACACAUUUGAAAAUGUUCUUACUUCAUUAAUUAAACUCUCCUUUUUUUUUGCUUGUCUUUUUCAGUUGCAUUUAUGAAAUAUCCUACAACGAAUAAAACUGUCUAAUUUAUUACUUGUCU